rnacentral:rRNA from 1 species
UACGUAGGGGCCAAGCGUUGUCCGGAUUUAUUGGGCGUAAAGAGCUCGUAGGCGGUUCAGUAAGUCGGGUGUGAAAACUCCGGGCUCAACCCAGAGACGCCACCCGAUACUGCUGUGACUUGAGUCCGGUAGGGGAGUGGGGAAUUCCUGGUGUAGCGGUGAAAUGCGCAGAUAUCAGGAGGAACACCAGUGGCGAAGGCGCCACUCUGGGCCGUAACUGACGCUGAGGAGCGAAAGCGUGGGUAGCAAACAGG